GACGAACGCUGGCGGCGUGCUUAACACAUGCAAGUCGAACGGAAAGGCCCUGGUUUUGUGGGGGGCUCGAGUGGCGAACGGGUGAGUAACACGUGAGUAACCUGCCCUUGACUUUGGGAUAACUUCAGGAAACGGGGGCUAAUACCGGAUAGGAGCUCCGGCUGCAUUGUGUGGGUUGGAAAGUUUCGGCGGUGGGGGAUGGGCUCGCGGCUUAUCAGCUUGUUGGUGGGGUAGUGGCUUACCAAGGCGUUGACGGGUAGCCGGCCUGAGAGGGUGACCGGCCACAUUGGGACUGAGAUACGGCCCAGACUCCUACGGGAGGCAGCAGUGGGGAAUAUUGCACAAUGGGAGGAAGCCUGAUGCAGCCACGCCGCGUGCGGGAUGACGGCCUUCGGGUUGUAAACCGCUUUCGCCUGUGACGAAGCGUGAGUGACGGUAAUGGGUAAAGAAGCACCGGCUAACUACGUG
rnacentral:rRNA from 1 species